UGGGGAAUAUUGCACAAUGGGCGCAAGCCUGAUGCAGCCAUGCCGCGUGUGUGAAGAAGGCCUUCGGGUUGUAAAGCACUUUCAGCGAGGAGGAAGGUGGUGAACUUAAUACGUUCAUCAAUUGACGUUACUCGCAGAAGAAGCACCGGCUAACUCCGUGCCAGCAGCCGCGGUAAUACGGAGGGUGCAAGCGUUAAUCGGAAUUACUGGGCGUAAAGCGCACGCAGGCGGUUUGUUAAGUCAGAUGUGAAAUCCCCGGGCUCAACCUGGGAACUGCAUUUGAAACUGGCAAGCUAGAGUCUCGUAGAGGGGGGUAGAAUUCCAGGUGUAGCGGUGAAAUGCGUAGAGAUCUGGAGGAAUACCGGUGGCGAAGGCGGCCCCCUGGACGAAGACUGACGCUCAGGUGCGAAAGCGUGGGG
rnacentral:rRNA from 1 species